AACGAACGCUGGCGGCAUGCCUAACACAUGCAAGUCGAACGAUGCCUUCGGGCAUAGUGGCGCACGGGUGCGUAACGCGUGGGAAUCUGCCUUUCGGUUCGGAAUAACUCAGGGAAACUUGAGCUAAUACCGGAUAACGUCGCAAGACCAAAGAUUUAUCACCGAAAGAUGAGCCCGCGUAGGAUCAGCUAGUUGGUGAGGUAAAGGCUCACCAAGGCGACGAUCCUUAGCUGGUCUGAGAGGAUGAUCAGCCACACUGGGACUGAGACACGGCCCAGACUCCUACGGGAGGCAGCAGUGGGGAAUAUUGGACAAUGGGCGAAAGCCUGAUCCAGCAAUGCCGCGUGAGUGAUGAAGGCCUUAGGGUUGUAAAGCUCUUUUACCCGGGAAGAUAAUGACGGUACCGGGAGAAUAAGCCCCGGCUAACUCCGUG
rnacentral:rRNA from 1 species